AGGAAUAUUGGUCAAUGGACGCAAGUCUGAACCAGCCAUGCCGCGUGAAGGAUGAAGGUCCUCUGGAUUGUAAACUUCUUUUAUCUGGGACGAAAACGGGAUUUUUAUCUCAAUUGACGGUACCAGAGGAAUAAGCACCGGCUAACCCCGUGCCAGCAGCCGCGGUAAUACGGAGGGUGCGAGCGUUAUCCGGAUUUACUGGGUUUAAAGGGUGCGUAGGUGGGCUUAUAAGUCAGUGGUGAAAUCUCCGAGCUUAACUUGGAAACUGCCGUUGAUACUAUAUGUCUUGAAUAUUGUGGAGGUAAGCGGAAUAUGUCAUGUAGCGGUGAAAUGCAUAGAUAUGACAUAGAACACCGAUUGCGGAGGCAGCUUGCUACGCAAAUAUUGACGCUGAGGCACGAAAGCGUGGGGAUCAAACA
rnacentral:rRNA from 1 species